CCUACGGGAGGCAGCAGUGGGGAAUAUUGGGCAAUGGGCGCAAGCCUGACCCAGCAACGCCGCGUGAAGGAAGAAGGCUUUCGGGUUGUAAACUUCUUUUAAGAGGGAAGAGCAGAAGACGGUACCUCUUGAAUAAGCCACGGCUAACUACGUGCCAGCAGCCGCGGUAAUACGUAGGUGGCAAGCGUUGUCCGGAUUUACUGGGUGUAAAGGGCGUGCAGCCGGGAAGACAAGUCAGUUGUGAAAUCCCGGGGCUCAACCGCGGAACUGCAGUUGAAACUGUUUUUCUUGAGUACCGGAGAGGUCAUCGGAAUUCCUGGUGUAGCGGUGAAAUGCGUAGAUAUAAGGAAGAACACCGGUGGCGAAGGCGGAUGACUGGACGGCAACUGACGGUGAGGCGCGAAAGCGUGGGGAGCAAACAGCAUUAGAUACCCGAGUAGUC
rnacentral:rRNA from 1 species